rnacentral:lncRNA from 1 species
ACAGUUUUGCUAGCAGAAAAUACGACUCUCUUCUAUGCUGUGGUAAAAUAGUACAACCACAAGGCCAGGAUCCAUAGAAUGUGACCAGCUGUUUCAGUGGUUUUCUGUUACUAUUUGUGAAGUCUUCAUUCUUGUCAUCUCUAGCAGAAGAGUGGUGCCAGUUGCCAGAGGUUUGAGGAAAAAGAAGUCAUGGGAGAAUUUACAUUUCAGAAAAUUCCAUUCAUUGACUUAAUUAUUUCUGGGAAUUCAGAAAAGACCACCAUGAUCCUUUAGCCGCGAAAACACUUGGGCCAGUUUUGGAAAUGCUAGAAUCCUGCAGGAGAAGCUUUUGAGAAAUUCAGUACUGUGCAGUGUUGUAACCCGAAUACUUUGCUGGAGAAAGGGUUACUGAGAGAUCAUAUUCACAAAUCAACGUGCAAUAGUGAAAAAAGAUGGCAACACUGAAGAACCUUACUGAAUAACCCAGUAUGGACCACGUAUUGUAAUAGGCACUUAAUUUCUCUCAAUCCUUUCGAUAUCUCCUUGAAAUAGCGAAGGUCAUAUGAUAGCUGCUUAAUAAAAUUUGCUGAUCGAAUGAAGGAGCUAAUGAAUUCAAUAAAAUCAGGGAAGGCUUCUUGGAGGAGGAGCACCUUGCUCCAGUGGGCUGAGAAGACAUUCCAUGAGACCAGAGCAAGGAGAGGAGUGGCCUGGCAGCUGAAGCCAGAGACAGACUUGAACCUGGAGUUUACCUUUUUGAGAGUUAAAUCUGUGUGGAGGAGGAAAGGAGGAGAGACUAGAAGCGGAGAGGCCCUUUGGAGGCUCUGGUUCAGGCAAAAAAGGAUGGGCUGUGAAUUCCUGCAUUUAUCUACCUUUGUUUUCCUGUGUAGACACAAGGCUGCCUGGCCUCUCAGAGAAUCUUCACAUCAAACCUAGGAGAAAGGUACUAUUAUCAUCUCUAAGUUACAAAAAUGGGAACUGAGCCACCAAAUGGCUAAGUGGUUUGCCUAAGAACACAGCGCUGGGCAGACAGAGGAACCAGGGGACUUAGGCCUUGCCAAGGAGGUGACAGUUGGACUGGCCUGGAGGGACUGGCCUGGAAAGAACAGCUACAGUAUGGCCACAGGGUUCCGGGAUGGCCAAGGAGGCCCAUCUCACCAGACCUGGCCCUGAGAAACUUCACCAGCAAGGCUUUCAAAUCGGCUUACCAGCUAAUUCUUAAAAGCAGUGAGGUUAAGAAGUAUCCAAUCACAUGAUCUUGGACACUAUUCAGCUCGGACUUUCCUCUUUUGGAGCGGUGGUAUGUCAGCACAGUGGAAAUUCGAAUAGGGGCAGUUUUUGUCCCAACAAAGGACUGGACUGUGAUGGAAGGUCCCCUGCCUGUUCACUGCUAAAUAGAACUGCAUGUAAAUAAGAUCAUUUGAGCUGUGGUGGGUUUUGAAUACACAACCAUC